CGGGGAAAUUUAUGGAAAGAUGUCCUCCUGCAACUGCUGAAAAUGCAACAUGCUGCCCAGGUCCUGCUCAGACCACUGACAACUCAGAAGUUAAUACUCAGAGUGGAAAGGUGAGUAAAGGCUGUUUAAUGACCACCCCAUGAAAAGAGUCAGAAUUACAUCCCUCUUGAUUCCUGUUUCUUUCUGAACAACAUAAAUGUAAUGUAAGCCAAGCUAAUACAUGCUGUUUUGUGGUAUAUAAUGGGUUUUCUGUAGCCAGAUGUGGCGCUGAUUAUUAUUUUUUUUCUGCAAACCUGUGUUACUUUCAGCGUAGCAAAGUGUAGUACAUGAGCAAGCGUUUCAAGCCAGACGGAGUUAAUCAUCUCUGUCACUGAAUUGGAGCUCACGGUCUGCUGGACAACUGUGCUGAGUGGAAAGGAAGCCUCGAUGGCUAAGUCACUUGUCCAACCUCAGACACUGGCAGAUCCAGGAUUCAAACAGCUAGACUCCAAAUGUGUUUCCUUUAACCUCUUUUCUACCUUUUCAACUUGAUUCCACACAUCACCACUGGGAAAGCUUAGGUGAGUAAGUCAUGUGGGCUUUGGUUUUUUCAUCUGCACGAUGGAUAGACUGAGACCUUCUUCCCUCAUGCCUCUGAGGAUGACAUAAAAAACCCACAAAAUCCCUAGUCCACUUACUUGCUCACAGAUAUUUACUGAGUGAGCAUCUGAUUUCCAUCCCAUUGUCACCUUCUCCCUAGCUGUCCAGACACCCUGCUUGCCUGGCCAAUGCCACCAAAGAAUGGAACCUGCUUUUGUUCCACACUCCGUAGCCAGAAAAAA
ensembl:lncRNA LINC01579 long intergenic non-protein coding RNA 1579